UACGUAGGGUGCGAGCGUUAAUCGGAAUUACUGGGCGUAAAGCGUGCGCAGGCGGCACGUUAAGACAGGUGUGAAAGCCCCGAGCUUAACUUGGGAAUUGCGCUUAUGACUGGCGUGCUGGAGUGUGGCAGAGGGAGGUGGAAUUCCACGUGUAGCAGUGAAAUGCGUAGAGAUGUGGAGGAACACCGAUGGCGAAGGCAGCCUCCUGGGCCAGCACUGACGCUCAUGCACGAAAGCGUGGGGAGCAAACAGG
rnacentral:rRNA from 1 species